UUCACCCAGCUGCCUGCAAUCCGGGCGUAGCCCAGUAGUGCCCUUGGCCGGGUCAUUUCAUUGUCGGGGUGAAGGAAACAAUGCGUAAGCUGGAGCUGGGUGUCCCUGCGGUUUGGUGCUGUGAACAGAGGACCCCAAACUGCUCUGCUCUCCUGGAAGCCACAGUCAAGAGAACCCAGGAUCUCACAAGCCAGCAAAAAUACAGGUGUGUAUUUCUGUUGUCCUCACCUCUUGGGAUACCACCUCCAAUUUCCACCCAGUUCGGCAGCAUGGAUCUUCAAGGACCAGUGCAGGUCUCUAAGAAUCUGAAUCAGAAUGGUGGUUUAUAACCACUGUACUCUGCUGUCACUGCUCAGUCCGCGAGUCAUCGCUAUAGGGUAUCACCCCAAAUUUCGCCUCCGGGGACCUGGACUACAGGUGAGCCAAUCGACUGGACUGGACUGAACUGGACUGGACUGGACACACCACAGUUCCGCA